rnacentral:rRNA from 1 species
UAGUAAUGGCAGGUCAGCAUACUGCCGUGAAUACGUUCCCGGGCCUUGUACACACCGCCCGUCACACCAUGAGAGUUGGGAAUACCCGAAGCCUGUGAGCUAACGUUAAGAGGCAGCAGUCGAAGGUAGAAUCAAUGAUUGGGGUGAAGUCGUAACAAGGUACC